GACGAACGCUUUCUUCUUUCUUAACACAUGCAAGUCGAACGGAAAGGCCCUGCUUUUGUGGGGUGCUCGAGUGGCGAACGGGUGAGUAACACGUGAGUAACCUGCCCUUGACUUUGGGAUAACUUCAGGAAACUGGGGCUAAUACCGGAUAGGAGCUCCUGCUGCAUGGUGGGGGUUGGAAAGUUUCGGCGGUUGGGGAUGGACUCGCGGCUUAUCAGCUUGUUGGUGGGGUAGUGGCUUACCAAGGCUUUGACGUGUAGCCGGCCUGAGAGGGUGACCGGCAACAUUGGGACUGAGAUACGGCCCAGACUCCUACGGGAGGCAGCAGUGGGGAAUAUUGCACAAUGGGCGGAAGCCUGAUGCAGCAACGCCGCGUGCGGGAUGAAGGCAGUCGGGUUGUAAACCGCUUUCGCCUGUGACGAAGCGUGAGUGACGGUAAUGGGUAAAGAAGCAAAGGCUAAAUACGGG
rnacentral:rRNA from 1 species